rnacentral:rRNA from 1 species
CGGUGGAGUAUGUGGCUUAAUUCGAUGCAACGCGAAGAACCUUACCUGGCCUUGACAUGUACGUAGUAGAACCAUGAAAGUGACGUAUAGCGAACAGGUGUGACGAGCGCAACCCCUAUGAUUAGUUGCCCGGGAUGUCAAGUAGGAUGGCCCUUACGGCCAGGCUGCAUACAUGCUCGGUACAAGGGACGCAAGACCGCGAGGUGGAGCAUCCCAGAAAACCGAGCUCAGUUCGGAUUGGAGUGCAACUCGCCUCCAUGAAGCUGGAAUCGCUAGUAAUGGGCAUCAGCUACGGCGCCGUGAAUACGUUCCCGGGCCUUGUACACACCGCCGUCACAUCAUGAAAGCCUGUUGUACCCGAAGUGCGCACGUUAACCGCAAGGAGACAGCGCCCUAAGUAUGGCCGGUGAUUGGGAUGAAGUCGUACAAGGU